rnacentral:rRNA from 1 species
GAUGAACGCUGGCGGCGUGCCUAAUACAUGCAAGUCGAGCGAACGGACGAGAAGCUUGCUUCUCUGAUGUUAGCGGCGGACGGGUGAGUAACACGUGGAUAACCUACCUAUAAGACUGGGAUAACUUCGGGAAACCGGAGCUAAUACCGGAUAAUAUUUUGAACCGCGUGGUUCAAAAGUGAAAGACGGUCUUGCUGUCACUUAUAGAUGGAUCCGCGCUGCAUUAGCUAGUUGGUAAGGUAACGGCUUACCAAGGCAACGAUGCAUAGCCGACCUGAGAGGGUGAUCGGCCACACUGGAACUGAGACACGGACCAGACUCCUACGGGAGGCAGCAGUAGGGAAUCUUCCGCAAUGGGCGAAAGCCUGACGGAGCAACGCCGCGUGAGUGAUGAAGGUCUUCGGAUCGUAAAACUCUGUUAUUAGGGAAGAACAUAUGUGUAAGUAACUGUGCACAUCUUGACGGUACCUAAUCAGAAAGCCACGGCUAACUACGUG